rnacentral:lncRNA from 1 species
CCCAUUCACAAAACAAAUCCUAGAUAUUAUAAUAGCAAAUACCAAGAACGUAAAGGAGCUAUGGCAGAUAUUAUAUACAUUUCAGCUAAUACCGUCUUAGUUUCGCAAAAAUAUACUUGAAACUUUAAAGAAACAAGAGCCAGACAAAUUUAAAUUUCCCCCAUAAUCUAUUGCAUCUAUUGCAUAAAAUCACAAUAUGUUACUUAACUAUACCAAUUUUAUGUGGUGGUACCACAUGUUAAAAGUCAGCCUGCAACCUCCAACAAUGAUCAAGCAGUCAAUCUAAAAUCGCCAAGCUUCAUCUUCACAGGUAAUUAUCUCGGAUUGCAAAAUGGCACUCUUUCUGUCAAGCAAAACCAAACUCUCCAUGUACAUUUCCAUGUGAAAUGAGUCCUUAGCAGCACGAACUCCAACAUGUGAAUACAUCAAGUCAUUAGGAUCAUACAAUACCAGCUUAUGCCUGCCUAUUUGCACCAGUAUGUCCCCAUUGUUUGUAACACAAACUUCAUACAUUCUCCCAUCAUAUCAACAGUGUACAUUUCCCUUCAAGAUUCAAACACACCAUACUCCUCCAUCACCCACACUGAAAACAUCUGUUCCUUCCAGCUACGAUAGUUUACCGCUGCAAGCCUAUUCCCUAGCACCGCCAAAGACAAGUAGGAUCACCAUUCUUCCAAAUCAGCUGGGAGAUUCACCUCUUUGAACGCCUCAUUGCUCAUAUCAAAAGAAACGAUCAUAUCCCGACUUUGUCAUUAAUUCACCUUCUCAGUUCGGGGACUAUAUCCAAUCCAGUGCACAUCCCCGUCAACAUAAGCUGACAACCCCCAAUUUUAUAUCCCAUAAGGUGCUGUACCAGCAUUAUAAUUCCUCCAGGACCCCGAUUUCACUGUGUACAACUCAACCUCAGGUGGAUUUUUAUUCCCGUUAAAGUUAAAAUACGCAAUCCUCACCACCUUAUAAUAAUCAGUUUUACAAUCAAACCCAAACCCAAGCACAAAGCUUUAAGCUCAAUGGGAUCUCCGAGUCACCCGGGGUUUAGGGAGAGUCGAGUAUUUUUUUUAAUAGAUGGGUUCCACAGAAUAAUGUCAUAUGCAGAAUCCCCUUUAAGAACAGAAGAUCCUUUAGUAUCAGAUAAACAAAACAACCCAUUGCACGAGCCCACUAUUUGGAAAUGUUUGAAAGAUUUAGACUUGAAAGGGAUGUCUAGUUCUUGCAAAUUGUCCAUGUCAUUUGGUAAAAGCAAUUAGUUUUCUUUUCUCUCGAUCCUUUUUCUUCCAGUUAACAAGGGGAAUGUGAGUGUGCUUUGUACUGGUAAUGUGAUCUGAAACGAAAGAUGGGUUGGUGAUUACACUGUGGAAAAAAUUGCAAACUGACCUGAUUCAAAGAAGGGUUUUGACUUGGAGUCUUGCGAAAAGGUCCACCCAUACUUCAUCGGGCAAAUAAUCCGACAUUUUUUUCUGGGGUUUCAGAGUUUGAUGAACGAGAAAUGGGGGAACUGAAUAGCGAUAGAGGAAACGUUUAGCCUGGGAGACAUCAUCUAGGGUUCAAUACGG